rnacentral:sRNA from 1 species
CCCUAGCCCGGAUAGCAGUGGAAAUCCUUUAUGUUUUUUCUUUAAAAACAUAAAGAUUGCAACGAAUAGCCGGAAAUAGC